ACAAUGGCUCCAUGGGGAGAGAAAGAGGUGUGCUACCAGACUAGGAUUUUCUGGUGGUUGCAGAAAUGAAGAAAUAGCUUACUCGACAAGCGAAGAGAACGGGGUAAUACCGUAAUAAUAUAAACAUGGAUGAGGACAUCCCUCCGUUGCCCCGCAAAGAAAUGUAAAAUCAUAAAGCUCUCCUCCAAUCUCUCCAUGAGUGCCACAUCAUCGUGCUAUUUCCAAUAAAUCAAUUUCAUUUCACGGUUUCCAACACACAUCAAUGGCGCUUUUGUAUUUUCCAAUACAUUAAUUUCAUUUUAUGGUAACAUUUAUUUUAUAGAAACUAACUGCUCCACACAAUACAAAGUUUAAUUGGUUUUUAUUUCCAAGGCAUACAAGCCAUAGGAUUUAAACAAGCGAUAAAUGUGCCCAUGAAUAGCUAAAUAUCAUUGUUAUAUAGGAAAUUCCGGUCCGAUAAACUGUAGUUCAAGAAGACAAUCCGGUGUACAUGAACAGAUAGAUGCAGUUGUUACUCAGGAAGGUCUUUUCUGCAAAACAUUUAUCUUUCUUGGAACUGCAACCUCUGCCUCAUUCAUAACUUCCCCCUUCUCUAUCUAUUACGAGUCCUCCAUCGUUCUCCCUCUACCUUCUUCUUUGGCUGUCUAGUCAAUCUCUCAUCAAUCAUGGUUCCACUGCAACCUCUGCCUCGUUCAUAACUUCCCCCUUCUCUGUCUAUUACGAGUCCUCCAUCGUUCUCCCUCUACCUUCUUCUUUGGUUGUCUAGUCAAUCUCUCAUCAAUCAUGGUUCCACUGCAACCUCUGCCUCGUUCAUAACUUCCCCCUUCUCUGUCUAUUACGAGUUCUCCAUCGUUCUCCCUCUACCUUCUUCUUUAGCUGUCUAGUCAAUCCCUCAUCAAUCAUGGUUCCACUGCAACCUCUGCCUCGUUCAUAACUUCCCCCUUCUCUGUCUAUUACGAGUCCUCCAUCGUUCUCCCUCUACCUUCUUCUUUGGUUCUCUAGUCAAU
rnacentral:lncRNA from 1 species